NNNNNNNNNNNNNNNNNNNNNNNNNNNNNNNNNNNNNNNNNNNNNNNNNNNCCCCAUGCAAAUGAGCCGCCGGCCGGCCCUGGGGGCGCGAGCGCGCGCCGCCCAGUGGGACCGCCCCAACCCCCCUCACCGGGCACCGGGCUCCAGGCGCCCGCCUGCUACCAGCUUUCGAGGCUGGCACGGGGGAUGUCACCUUUUCUCCAAAUGCACGUCCCCCGCCCUCCAUCAAGGGCGAGAACGCGUCCUUCCUCACGGGCUAAGCAAACGCAUCCUCUUCUGGGAAGACCGCUGGGAUUACUCCCCCCACCCCCAACAUGCGCCCCUGCAGCCCCCAUGCAGCCCUCAAGAUGCUGGCCUCAAGUCGACUUCUGCCUUCACCUCCCACCAAACCGUGGGCAUUACGCACGUGUCCAUAGGACCGACCGAUCAGAUAUGAAUCUAUUAACGAGAAGGGGCAUACCACAGCUGGCAGAAAACGAAUAAUGACCCCCCUCACCAACUCUGGUCAGGCCCACCGUGAAAGCCCCAGGAAAUGACGACUCAAGGCAGGGAGGCUGGGAACUCCAACAGGUCCCAUAAUGAGGCACAGAGCCACAGUUCCACCAGACAUGCCUGAGGGUCCGGGUCUACCCAGGGUUGAGGAGCUCACCACCUCCCCCCUUCUCCAGUGAAACGAACCAAGUGACCCUGAAUUGUCCCCCAUAGUCUCGGUUCUGCCCUAGGAGUUCUGCUCCCACCCCAAUCCCUCAGUCCGUGCUGUCCAGGCCUAACGGCAUGCCCAACAACAUGGGGGUAGGAGGCAGCCAGGAAUGAGAGGGAAGGAAGAGGCACCCCAGGGAAACUGAGGGGAGAGCACCUUGGUUUUAGCACCUAGGCUGCAGAAUAGUGACCGUCACCCCACACAACACAAUCAGGGUAUGCCAGAGUCUCUGAGCACCUCCAGGGUUGCACAAUGGCCUGCAGCAAGGUCUAGGGUAGAACCAGUGCAGUGCCUUAUCUCCAGGAUCCUCAGCUGUCCCCCUAGACCAUUGGCUGAGCUUACAGACACCAUUAGGCAGCUCACAAUGCCAGAGAAGCAGGGGGUCAAACCUGGCUUUGCCCUGCAGGGAACCCUCUGGCAUGGCCUAGAAAAUACAUACAAGCCCAAGAUGGACCCACAGCUGCCCCUACACCUGAAGCACCUAUCUGACACCCAGGGCUCGACUGACCCAGCCCCUGGCCAGGUGUGCCGCCUCAGCCCUCUCCCAUCUGUAAAAGGAAGGCAUUGGGCUAAAGGCCCCUGGACAGCUUGUUCAAAAUCACAUUCCUUAGGGCACCUGGCUGGCUCAGUUGGUAGAGAGCAUGUAACUUUUUUUUUUUUUAAGAUUUUAUUUAUUUAUUUGACAGAGAUCACAAGUAGGCAGAGAGGAGGAAGCAGGCUCCCUGCUGAGCAAAGAGCCCGAUGCGGGACUCGAUCCCAGGACCCUGAGAUCAUGACCUGA
rnacentral:lncRNA from 1 species